ACAGAGACUGCAAGCGUUAUUCGGAUUCACUGGGCGUAAAGGGCGCGUAGGCGGCCAUCUAAGUCAGACGUGAAAUCCCUCGGCUCAACCGGGGAACUGCGUCCGAUACUGGUGGGCUCGAAUCCGGGAGAGGGAUGUGGAAUUCCAGGUGUAGCGGUGAAAUGCGUAGAUAUCUGGAGGAACACCGGUGGCGAAGGCGGCAUCCUGGACCGGUAUUGACGCUGAUGCGCGAAAGCCAGGGGAGCAAACGGGA
rnacentral:rRNA from 1 species